CUGUGAGUGUUUCUUUGGCAGUGUCUUAGCUGGUUGUUGUGAGUAAUAGUGAAGGAAGCAAUCAGCAAGUAUACUGCCCUAGAAGUGCUGCACGU
rnacentral:pre_miRNA from 1 species